GUAAUAUCACGUACGUACGUAGAUACAUGCAUUAGUUUAUGAGUGCGGCUAUUGGGAUCUCCAAAUUUGCUUAGUAUACCUCUCAUUCUCUCUACACCUCCAUUUUACUUUUAAAUACAAGCAUUUUCUCAUUACACCUCUUUUCAAAUUCCUAAAAUAGUCUUGUUUAUGUAAUUCACAUAUAUAUUAAUAUAUUAUUCAUUACACCUCUUAUUCACUCACUAUACCUCCAAAUUUUUUUUUCUUUUUUUUUCCUUUUUGCAUGCGAACAUCCAUUCCCGACUUCAAUU
rnacentral:lncRNA from 1 species